rnacentral:rRNA from 1 species
UACGAAGGGUGCAAGCGUUACUCGGAAUUACUGGGCGUAAAGGGUGCGUAGGUGGUUGUUUAAGUCUGUUGUGAAAGCCCCGGGCUCAACCUGGGAAUGGCAAUGGAUACUGGACAGCUAGAGUGCGGUGAGAGGUAGUGGAAUUCCCGGUGUAGCAGUGAAAUGCGUAGAGAUCGGGAGGAACACCAGUGGCGAAGGGCGGCUACCUGGACCAGCACUGACACUGAAGCACGAAAGCGUGGGGAGCAAACAGG